CAGUAGCCGCGGUAAUACGGAGGGAGCUAGCGUUGUUCGGAAUUACUGGGCGUAAAGCGCGCGUAGGCGGUUACUCAAGUCAGAGGUGAAAGCCCGGGGCUCAACCCCGGAACUGCCUUUGAAACUAGGUGACUAGAAUCUUGGAGAGGUCAGUGGAAUUCCGAGUGUAGAGGUGAAAUUCGUAGAUAUUCGGAAGAACACCAGUGGCGAAGGCGACUGACUGGACAAGUAUUGACGCUGAGGUGCGAAAGCGUGGGGAGCAAACAGGAUUAGAGACCCGUGUAGUCCCUGUCUCUUAUAC
rnacentral:rRNA from 1 species